AAUCUUGCGCAAUGCGCGAAAGCGUGACGCAGCAACACCGCGUGAGGGAAGACGGCCCNAGGGUUNUNAACCUCUUUCAGAUGGGNCGAAGGUUCGGCGGUGAAUAGCCGACCGAAUUGACGGUACCGUCAGAAGAAGCUCCGGCUAACUACGUGCCAGCAGCCGCGGUAAUACGUAGGGAGCGAGCGUUGUCCGGAAUCAUUGGGCGUAAAGAGCAUGUAGGUGGAUCAAUUAGUCUGCUGUGAAAGUCGAAGGCUCAACCUUCGAAAGCCGGUGGAUACUGUUGAUCUAGAGUACGGAAGAGGCGAGUGGAAUUCCUGGUGUAGCGGUGGAAUGCGCAGAUAUCAGGAGGAACACCAGUGGCGAAGGCGGCUUACUGGACUGUAACUGACACUGAGGCUCGAAAGCGUGGGGAGCAAAC
rnacentral:rRNA from 1 species